rnacentral:rRNA from 1 species
UACGGAGGGUGCGAGCGUUGUCCGGAAUCACUGGGCGUAAAGGGCGCGUAGGCGGCCUGAUAAGUAGGGGGUGAAAUCCUGCGGCUUAACCACAGGGCUGCCUUCUAAACUGUCAGGCUAGAGCACGGUAGAGGCAGAUGGAAUUCCCGGUGUAGCGGUGGAAUGCGUAGAGAUCGGGAAGAACAUCAGUGGCGAAGGCGGUCUGCUGGGCCGUUGCUGACGCUGAGGCGCGACAGCGUGGGGAGCAAACAGG